rnacentral:rRNA from 1 species
CCUACGGGAGGCAGCAGUGGGGAAUUUUGGACAAUGGGCGCAAGCCUGAUCCAGCCAUGCCGCGUGCGGGAAGAAGGCCUUCGGGUUGUAAACCGCUUUUGUCAGGGAAGAAAAGGUUCUGGUUAAUACCUGGGACUCAUGACGGUACCUGAAGAAUAAGCACCGGCUAACUACGUGCCAGCAGCCGCGGUAAUACGUAGGGUGCAAGCGUUAAUCGGAAUUACUGGGCGUAAAGCGUGCGCAGGCGGUUAUGCAAGACAGAGGUGAAAUCCCCGGGCUCAACCUGGGAAUUGCCUUUGUGACUGCAUAGCUAGAGUACGGUAGAGGGGGAUGGAAUUCCGCGUGUAGCAGUGAAAUGCGUAGAUAUGCGGAGGAACACCGAUGGCGAAGGCAAUCCCCUGGACCUGUACUGACGCUCAUGCACGAAAGCGUGGGGAGCAAACAGGAUUAGAUACCCUGGUAGUCCACGCCCUAAACGAUGUCAACUGGUUGUUGGGAGGGUUUCUUCUCAGUAACGUAGCUAACGCGUGAAGUUGACCGCCUGGGGAGGACGGCGCGAAGGUAGUAACGUUAGAAGUAAGUUAGAGCGNGNGAGNGCGACGGACGACGACGAGGGAGGAGG